GAUGAACGCUGGCGGCGUGCCUAAUACAUGCAAGUCGAGCGAACAGACGAGGAGCUUGCUCCUCUGACGUUAGCGGCGGACGGGUGAGUAACACGUGGAUAACCUACCUAUAAGACUGGGAUAACUUCGGGAAACCGGAGCUAAUACCGGAUAAUAUAUUGAACCGCAUGGUUCAAUAGUGAAAGACGGUUUUGCUGUCACUUAUAGAUGGAUCCGCGCCGCAUUAGCUAGUUGGUAAGGUAACGGCUUACCAAGGCAACGAUGCGUAGCCGACGUGAGAGGGUGAUCGGCCACACUGGAACUGAGACACGGUCCAGACUCCUACGGGAGGCAGCAGUAGGGAAUCUUCCGCAAUGGGCGAAAGCCUGACGGAGCAACGCCGCGUGAGUGAUGAAGGUCUUCGGAUCGUAAAACUCUGUUAUUAGGGAGGAACAAAUGUGUAAGUAACUAUGCACGUCUUGACGGUACCUAAUCAGAAAGCCACGGCUAACUACGUG
rnacentral:rRNA from 1 species